CUCAUCCAAAUGAAUGGAUUUUCACCAUAUGACACCAGAAAGCCAUUAAAGAUUAAUCUCAAAGAUUUUUUGAGAUUAAUAACCGAGGCAAAUAUAUCCAACAGUACCCAGAGUCAAGGGGCACCAGUCCAGGUAUUUACAUGCAGUGGAACACCUUCCCUCUUUUUCUAGUAUGAUAUCCCGGCAUUCAUUGCCUGCAGCAGCAAUAAGCCUUGUUUAGACAAGUGUUUGGAGCGCAUUGUUCACACAAUAAUGGGAAGAGAUACAUUGAGCCAAAGCUCUGUGCUUUGACUGAUGUGCAAUACAGCUUAAGGUGACAUAAUAUAAAAUAUUUAGCUGAAACAAUGCACAGAGCAGGAGCUCUUAUGCAAAUGUAAACAUGAGUACCUUCACAGCAAUUACCUCAUUACCUGCUGGUGGUUUUUCUACACAAUUGUAUUCCACCUUCCUCUUUGACAGAGUAUUCUGGGGGAUUUCUUACACUGACAUUCAUGUAUUUUUAAUACAGAUUUUUAACUCUAUUAAAGAUAAAUUGAUUUUUAACUCUAUUCAAGAAUUCUAGGGGCUAUGUCUUUUUAAAUCUAAAACAACCAUUAUCUUCAACACAAGGGAAGCAGUAAGGAUAAACAGCUUCCAUCUGUGAAAUGGAUCUCUUCAGGAUGUAUGUGGACAAGCAGAGAAGUGAACUACCUUCCAGCUCAGCCACCUCUACCCUGCUUCCCUAGAAAACAGAUUGAAAAUAGAUUCUCGAAAUGUUAAAUACCCCAUCCCUGAAUUCCCAAAUGAAUGAGCAAAUCAUGAAAUUAAAUGUAAGCAGGUGAACUUGGGGAAUGUCUCCUCUAAGGGUUUUCAAUCCCUAUUUGUGAUUCCUCACCAUAAAUGUGUUAAAUAUAACUACAUGCAGUUAUUUAUCUGUCCUAAAACAUAUCCUUUUGUGCCACUGGGGAAAUUUAUGCUCCUUUAGUAAGAGUUAUUUCCAUAUUUUUACAAUCAAUUUCUUGCCCCUAUUUUUCUUGGUUAAUGGCACAUUCAGGAUGCACUCUGGAACGCCCGUUUAAUUCUCAGUACCACAGUGGUUAAACACAUUCAAGUGACAAACACGUAUUGAGCAUAUCCUUCGUGAUGAAGGUGCAGUCUUUGCCCGCAAAAAACUAAAGGAAGGCAUGCAUCCUCAUCCUUCCAAAGGAGCGGCAUGCCCUUCACGGCAGUCACCAAACCAUCAUUUGAGAACCACCAUUUUCUAAGAGCAAUUUCCUGGUUUUGUUGUUUAUUUAUCUGUUUGAGCUGCUUAAAGCCAACAACAAUCCCCAGGUUGCAAGCAAACCAGUCAUGGGAGCUAAAACCAGAAUAACAGAGAUAAAGGAAACAAAAGCUUACUGGACAAUCCGUAGUGAUUUCCCAUACUUUCUCCUCCUUUCUGAACAGCCUUCCAUUUGCAUUUGGAGAUCCACAUGAUUCUGGGAGGCUGACUCCACACCAGAGUCCAUCAGGGGAAACUUUGAGCUCAGCAGAGCCAAUCUGUGCCUUCCACCCUUCUUGUCAGUGACUGCUUCAGGAUUAGGUAGGUAUUUUAAAAAGGAUGUGGCUGUGAAUGGGACAGAAACUCAAAAUUAACAGGGAUUUAAAGUUCAUUUCUCUAUCAAAUAAAUCCAAACGGCUGCUCCGUAGAGCCAGCAAGGGCCCAAUUGUCUGUCUUAUUGCUCUUUUAUUCCUAGAAUUCUGCUCUUAUCUGCAUAUUUCCAAGAUUGCUUACAACUAGAAAACUCCCAUGUUUCCUCUCUUUACUUUAGGGGAAAAACACUGAAACUAUACACACUACUUGCUUCCAUCUCAUUGGCUAGAACUCAAUCAUAUGGCCACACUAGUAGCAAAGGAAGGUGGUAAAUACAGGUGGUUUGUUUGUUUGUUUGUUUUCAGUUAUAUAAUGCCAAGCUAAAAUCAUGUUUCUAGGAAAGAAGAGAAUAGACAUUAGAGGUCAUCUAGUAGCCUCUUCCUGGCAUGUGAUCUAAACUGUUCCAGAUCUUCGUGUAGUAGCUUGGAACUCAAGAAAAUAAGUACAUAUUCCCCACCCCUUGGGAUGUCUCAUUUGCUGAAGUGAGAACCUGAGGUGACAGUAACAAUUUUUACAACCAUAAGGAAACCAAUAACAGGAUGAAGCUGACACACAGAAGAGGGCAGAAUCAAGCAAAUCCCAGAGAAAAGUACCUAUACAUCUACUAACAUCAUAAAAUUCUGGAUCAAACCACAUCUGGAACUCCAUCUCCAGACUUUUCACUUAUGUUGCCACAUAAAUUCUCCAUAUUUUCUGAAAGAGCUUGAAUUGAGAUCUUAUUUUCAAUCAAAACAUUCUGAGAUUGGAGUUCCCUUGUGGUACAGUAGUUUAAAGAUCUGGUGUUGUCACUGCUGUGGAUCAGGUCACUGCUUUGAUGCAGGGUCGAUCCCUGGUCCAGGAGCUCCCACAUGCCCUGGGCAGAGCACCCCCACCAAAAAAGUCCUGAAAUAUAGAAUGAGAAAGGUACAGAGAAAGAGAUAAGGUGAAAGACCAAAAAAUAUUGAAGGAUGCAAGAUGGCCAUUAAUAUAAAAUGUUGACAAAAGUGACUCUUUGAGACAUGAGGGUUAUAGUUUAUUUAAAAUAGAGGUACAGGAGUUCCCGUUAUAGUUCAUCAGGUUAAGAACCUGACACACUGUCUAUGAGGAUGCAGGUUUGAUCUCUGGCCUUGCUUGGUGGUUUAAGGAUCUGGCAUUGCCACAAGCCAUGGCACUGGUCACAGUUGUGGCUCGGAUCCAGCAUGGCUGUGGCUGUGGUAUAUGCUGACAGCUGCAACUCCAAUUCAACCCCUAGCCUAGGAAAUUCCAUAUGCUGCUGGUGCAGCCCUAAAAAGAAAAGUACAUAUAUACAUACAUACAUACAUCCAACAUACAUAAAACAGAGGCGCUGAAAAGUAACAAGAGCAGAUAAUGACCCAAAUAUUACCAAGACUUCUUAGAACAAAGAAUAAAUGACAAAGAAUAGCAGGUAUUGAGCAGCCAGGAAAUAUGUUUUAAAUAAUUCUUUCCAAAACUGUUAGCCAGAAUUAACUCUAUGAUAACACCACACUUUACUCCAUCCUCUUUCAUAGAAAAGACUUUGUUGGGUGAGAUAAUGCCUUAAACCUAAAAGCCUUACUAAGUUAGCAAUUAUUCUAGAUCAAAGCCUUGGGUAGAUGCCAUUGGCCUUAAUUCUUCAACAGAUUCCAUUGCGGUGCUCAGCUUUGUGAACUUCGAAGUAUUUCAUUUAAGGCCCCUUUAACUCUUGGCUCUGAUGAAAAGACCAAGCAAUUACAACCCUUAUGGCCUUUAUUUUCCCCUAAGAUCAUCAUCAGGAAGUCAAAACAUCCAAUAUAAAUGAAGACAAAAUAGGAACAAUGUUGAGAAAACUAUGAAGGGAGUUGUUUUCUUCUGUAAGAUAAUCAAGGUGAAUAAGAUAACAUGGUUUAAUAAAAAGGAAAUUGAAGACAUGAGAAAAACGUAAGUUGGAAAAGACUAUGUUCCUCAUGGUCACUCCUACAUGAGAGCUAGAGAUGGAUUUAGAACUGGGGAUCUAUUUGUUCUAACAGACACCCCACCUAAAAUUCUUUCCUUUUUUUUUUUUUUUUUUUUUUUUUUUUUUGGAUUUCCAGAGUGAGAAGACAUAUGAUAGGGAUAAGUACUGAUGGAAAUAUGGCUUAAAACUGGUAUUCUCAUACUGCAAAAAGCCUGUUCAAAUGUGAAAACAAAAGUCAGACAUUCCAGUAAAUAUUUUCACACAUUAUUUUGCAUAUGAGACAGGGAACCGAUUGUGAAGUAGGGCAUUCCACAAACACCGAUUGCUCCUACCAUGCCAUGCCAUGAACCACUCUGGGUGCUGAGAAUACAGUGUUACAUAAAACAGACAAGAAACACCUGUGUGAAGAGGCCUUAGGCCACAAUAAGGGCUUAAAAAAAAAAAAGUGUAAGGGGGCUGGGGAGUUCUCUAAUAGCAGGACAGGAAGUCGUUUACAGUAAGAGAGUCAGGGAAAGUCUCCCUGAGAAAGAGACUAUAUUGGUUGUUUAUUGCUCCAUAGAAAAUCACCCUCAUAACUUUGCAUCUUCAAACAAUAAACAUGUAUUAUCUCAUAGUUUCUGUGGGUCAGGAAUUUGACGGUAGCUUAAUUCAAUGGUUCUGACUCAGGAUCUCUCAUAAACUGCUGUCAGCUGGGGCUGCAAGCGUCUGAAGCUGCCUGGCACUGAAGAAGCUAUAGUUAGGCAGAGCACAGGGACAUCUCUGUGUAUUCCCCCAAACCCUAACAACUCAGCAGUCAGCUCCCUCACCCCACCCCAGAGCAAGUGAUGAGAGAGAGAAAUCAAAACAAAAGCCACGGUUUCUAUAACCUCAUCCCAGAAGUCGCAGGCCACCCUUCCACUAUAUGCUCUUGGUCAAACAGAUGAAGCCUGGGACAUUGUAAAAGACUACCUGCACUGUGACCAUCAAGAGGCAAGGAUCGCUGGGGGCCCCCUUGGAGGCUGGCAAACAGUGACAUUAAAUAAAUACCUGAGAAAGAUGAGUUCAAUGUCACUAAACUUCCAAUGAAUCACUUUUACAAAUUUCAGUUUUCUCAUCAAUGCACUAGAAAUUGUUAAAAUAUCUCCACCAACAUCAUGUUGAGAAGACUUAUACUAUGUCAAUAAAUGUCCUUGGCUCGGUGCCUGGCAUUCCAUCAACAAGCAAUACAUGUUAGCCAUUAUUGCUAUUCUCAUUAUUGGUGAUGUGGUUGUCAUCAUCAUGUUCAUUCGAUAGAUGAGAAAACUAAGCCUUCAAGAUUUAAAUCCUCACUGAUGCAUGCCCUUGAAACAGAUGAUCAUUGUAUUCAAGCUUUCUGAAUCUAAGAGCUUCUUUAUUUCACUGUGUUGACUCACUGAGAUCAUGGGAAGGAUGGAAAAGGAGGUAAAGAUUAAUCCAAAGCAUGAAUCAGAAAUUUUAAAUUCUAUGAGGAAAGAAAGGCCAAAUAUUCAAAGUCAACUCCACUGGCAUUAACCAAGCAAGAGCUAUCAGGAGUGUUUUUUGCCGUAAAGGAAUAGAAAACCCAGCUCUCUGUGGCUUAAACAAGAAGUAUGAUGGUGGGUAAUUGCUAGCUUUCAUUCUGACAGUUACCUUUUGGCUUUUAGUCUGCAUGCUUGUUGCCUCGUAGUCACAGGAUGACUGGUAUAGCUUCUGGGCCCACACUCACAAUUCAGGAAAACGCUCUGCUUUCCAAGAUGCCUCAGCUGACAUUCAUUUACACCUAAACAGCUAGAACUCUAUCAGCAGCUCCCCUAGAACAGGGGUAGGUGGUGAAAGCAUGGAUCAGACCAUCAUGAUUCACCCCUAGGCCUAGACACAUUACUGCCCAGGUAAAACCUGGGUUCUGGGGUUUUUUGGGGGGAGGGGGAUAUAGCUAUGUCCAUUGCAGGCAAUUGAUGUGUUCCUCCAUAGUCAUGUGGAUUCCCCAAGAGAAAAGUACCAAUUAAGCAUGGUUGUCCCGCACUUUUCAAGUGAAAUCCACACAAAUACUUUCAUGGUAACUGAGAAGUUAGUAGCUUCUAUGUCAGAGAUAUAAAUGCUGUGGAAGAGGAAGUUCCCUGGUGAUGCCAGCAGGUUAAGGAUCCGGCAUGUUGCAGCCGUGGUACAGGUUACAACUACAGUGCUGGUUUGAGCCCUGGCCCAGGAACUAUCACAUGCCACACAUGCAGCCAAAAACAAACUUGUAGAAGAGCCGCUGGGCAAAUGGGCACCCGCUCAUUGAAAGCCCCUAAUUUUAUUUAUAACCUCUCUCAGACGCAGGUGAGAGAAAUCUGGCUUCAACUUACUGUGGCUCCUUAAAGGGCAUGAACCUAUAAGACCACCUGCCAAGUCAGCCGGACUGUGCUGACACAGCCAUGCAUAUUUCUACCCUUCCUUGCCUCAUCACAGCACUGCACUGGCCCUGUGUUUCCUUCCAGGGUAAUACAGGACACCACUUCUUGCCCCUGGUAGGUAGCAACAAAUGUUCUAGCAAUUCCAAAUCCCAAACAUUAUGCUAAUCAACCGUUAGCAAAGAACGAAUUUUUUUCUUUUACUAUUUUUCAUAUUUGAUGAUUUCUGCAAACAUUCUCCAUUCUUUGUGGGGCCAGAGAGCUCCUAGAGAUAUAUUCUACAGCGGAAAAUUUCUAAAAGCUCCCAAAAGUACAGGAUAGACUUUAACCUGGUUUGUUUGUUUUUGUUUGUUUUUGCUGCAACAAGCAGCAGCUUGGUGUGGGAUCUCACUUCCCAGACCAGGGAUUGAACCCACAUCAUAGCAGUGAUAGCCCUGAGUCCUGACCACUAGACCACAAGUGGAACUCCCACAAGACAGACUCUGUAAACAACAUAAAAACAAUGAAAUUUACUCUCAGAUAAUCAAUAAUCAAAUGAAAGCACAAUGUAGAAGGUUUUUUAAUUUAAUUUAGGGAAAGCAGAUACUUUAAAAAAAAAAUCCAUACCAUUGAAAUGAUGAGGUGGUGUGGUGUAUUAGAGCAAAGAACAUCAGAAUUCCUAGGUUGUAAGCCCUGUGUGUCUAGCUAGAAGCCCUGAGGCAUGAACCAAGUCAUCUAUGCUGAGGCUGAGAUGUUUUCUGCCAACAACAGAGACUGAGGUGGUGGACCUGGGGUUAAAAAAAAAAAAAAAAAAA
rnacentral:lncRNA from 1 species